UCGUUCUGGCCAGGUAUGAGCUUAAUCACGUGACAUAAUUGACAUUGGCAACCCACAGGGAUAUUACUAGAUUUGUUAAAAUUAUCAGUCAGACAUUCAUUAAUUCAUCAAUAGAGGGGGAAAAAAGACCGAUUUUCUUUUUUAAAAAAUGGGGAAGGUCAAAGUGCAUGUGGAGUAUUGCGGUGCAUGAGGAUAUGAACCUCGGUUCCUGAAAUUGCGCAGUGUCAUCCUGAAUGAAAUUUCAGACUCCGAGGUUGAUAUUGUUGGCCAGGUUGGGCGCAGAAGUUCUUUUGAGAUAAAAAUCAAUGAUGAGCUGGUUUUCUCAAAACUUAAGUUGGACGGCUUCCCCAAAGCUGAAGAUGUUAUUGAUAGCAUCCGUGCAGCCUAGAGAGGAGAAGCUAAAAUGAUAACAUGAUAACAGAGUCCCAUUCUGAAUGCUCUAUUUUGUAAUCAGUGUUCUUGUAGUGUUAUCUUUCUGUACUUGUUAUGUAAGGCGAAAAUGAAGAAAUCUAACAACAACAAGACCUCCUGCUAUCAUUAGUCAGUCUUAUUAUUCAAUACUUGUGUAGCAAGACUGAUAGUAUUACAUCCAAAAUGAUAUAGCGUGCUGAUUAAAAUAUUUUGAAACUAUGAGGUCAACUAUUGAAGCAAAUUAUUUUUAUACACGUUCUAAAAUGAUAAAAUAUACCAGCCUAUUUGAAAGCAGACAUUAACAAUGGCCUCAAAAGACAUAAAUUAUUAAGUUACAGCCAUGAUUUAUAUGUUUAUGAACUUUGUAACCAGGAGGCCUAUUUAGAUUUUUAAUGCCAAUCUUAAAUGUACAAAUUCCUAUUCAAGUUUCAUUUUUUUUUAAAUUAUACCUCCUACAAAUCUAAAUGAGCUCUAGUAAAUAUCAAUAUACUGGCAACUUUAUAGACAUCAGAUCGCUUUUUUUGUUUUGACAAGAAUUGAAUUUAUUAUUAAUCUUAAAGCAAACACAAAAUGUGUUUUGUAUGUGUUUUGAAUUAAUAUACCAACAAGUGAUUCACAAAAUAAUGUUGGCUUGCAUGAUAUUGUGUUGAUCACAACUUUGUCUGUCUCGACUUCAUGACAAUCUAAACUGAACUUUGUGGGUUUAAGAUUUGAAUUCAUUAGUCUACUGACAGACAAAGUCCUGAUUGUAAAGAUAUCAUCAAGUUAUAUUUUGUUAUGGAAUCCAGUAUUUUGGUUUAUUGUAUACUUGGUUUUCAAAUUUGCUAAAUCAUUUACUGAGAUCUCAAUGUGUCAAACUUUUUAAUUGCUUAGAUAUACACACAUACAAUUUCACUAUGAAAUAAAAACUAUUUUUAAACAUUCA
rnacentral:sRNA from 1 species